ACGGGUGAGUAAUGUCUGGGGAUCUGCCCGAUAGAGGGGGAUAACCACUGGAAACGGUGGCUAAUACCGCAUAACGUCGCAAGACCAAAGAGGGGGACCUUCGGGCCUCUCACUAUCGGAUGAACCCAGAUGGGAUUAGCUAGUAGGCGGGGUAAUGGCCCACCUAGGCGACGAUCCCUAGCUGGUCUGAGAGGAUGACCAGCCACACUGGAACUGAGACACGGUCCAGACUCCUACGGGAGGCAGCAGUGGGGAAUAUUGCACAAUGGGCGCAAGCCUGAUGCAGCCAUGCCGCGUGUAUGAAGGAGGCCUUCGGGUUGUAAAGUACUUUCAGCGGGGAGGAAGGCAGUGAGGUUAAUAACCUUACUGAUUGACGUUACCCGCAGAAGAAGCACCGGCUAACUCCGUGCCAGCAGCCGCGGUAAUACGGAGGGUGCAAGCGUUAAUCGGAAUUACUGGGCGUAAAGCGCACGCAGGCGGUCUGUUAAGUCAGAUGUGAAGUCCCCGGGCUUAACCUGGGAACUGCAUUUGAAACUGGCAGGCUUGAGUCUCGUAGAGGGGGGUAGAAUUCCAGGUGU
rnacentral:rRNA from 1 species